GAAUGGAGAAAGAGUCACAUGUGUCCGGCUUUGCUGUGUCUUCCCUACACUUACAGGUUAGUUUCUCACCUUUUAUGUGAGUACAGGUGUUUAAAACAUGAUAGGGUGCUCCAGUGAUAAGUUGCCUGUUAGCUAAAAUGUGUAAAUGUGUGUAGAAUUGUAAGUUUCAUGCUACGUGACGAGGAGAGUCAGCAAAAAGGCGGUCGACACCGUAUUUCGGGGAUGUCUCUCACCUUCCUCAGAAGCAUCUCACUGACAGCGUGUGAGCCGGCACGUGUGGCACGCCCAGCGGAGCUUUCAGAUUCACCGGGCCCAACGGAUCCGACUGCCCCGCUACGCGCGCCGCGACCCCCGCUGACUACUUUUUCACCGAAACUGUAAAGCUAAAAAAGAAAAGAUCAAACAAUGACAGGCGUCAUGGUGAUGAACACAUGAUGUAACCACAGAGAGAAGCUGUGACUGAGAACAUCCUCUACAUGAUGAUCACUGACAUGAGGUCUGUGUCCAUGGUUGAAGAUGAAGCUUCACUACAAUCAUCCUCACCUUUAAUCCAGGUCACAUUCUGCCCUCAACGACACAAUUUAUGUUUUACAUUUUACAAAGCUCAUGGAGAGAAAAUAUGAAGAGACUUUAAAGGAAGUGAAGAAUGCAAUGAACACAAACAGCAAACUGUGUCUCACUGCUGAUAUAUGGACACGUGUAGCUAAUGAAGUCUACCUUUGGGUGACCUACCACUACAUUCACAAUGGGACGAAUAAACAGGCUGAAAUUAAAAAUGUGGUGUUUUUU
rnacentral:lncRNA from 1 species